rnacentral:lncRNA from 1 species
GAGCUUGACCAACCUAGACGAAUUCCACUAGAAUUCAAAGAAAACUUUGUGUUUAUAACUCAAGAGAGAAGUGCCAUGAGCGUUGCCUACAGCCCAGACAUUUGUUUUAUAAUGCUCUAAAGUGUUAUACUGUUAGGAAACGUCUUCUGACCUCAUAGUCUCUGGAAGGUUUCAAAGGACUGUAAAAAAUGCCUGCGUGCCUGGUGUGGACGGCUGACCUGAUGGAGGUGUGCCUAAGUUAGUGCUUCAUCUCGUAAAAUUCUGCCUAGUGGGAGGAAAUAUUUGCUUUGACUAAUUAAAAACAAAACUGGCUGGAACUCAGAGAGGUAAAGUUAUUUGCCCAGGGUUGCACAGCUAAUGAGGAACAGCUGAGAAAUGAUUCCAGCUCCAUCCCAUCCUACGUAUAAGUGAUGUUAUGCUCAUCUAACAGGGUGGUUGUGACCUUGUCUCCAUGAUCAUAGUGCUUAGUGGCUCCCUAGUAAUGAGACUGAUUUUUUUUUUUUUUAAAGACACACACACACAAAAGCCUCUUCUUUUUAUGGACCCAGAGAUAUACAUGAAUGAAUUCCUAGGGGGGCCAAAUAAACUCCCGUGGAGGUUAUUAAUUGGAUGGAACAGUGUAUGCAGCUACUAUAUCCGAAAUGACUCAAUUUCAAAGAGCUUCUGGGAUUCCUAAGUAUAGUUGGUAGGCAUGAGCUUUCCUGCUCAGGUGGUCAAGUUAGAUUGUCAAAUAAAUUCCUUACCCACUAAUGAAAGAUCCAGAGAACAUGUGCGUGUCUCAUGAAUUUUAAUGCAAACUGAGAUGUCUCAUUAAAAUGGAAUUUAUUAAACUUCUGCACGAGCUUGUUGCCUCCUUCCCCUGGAGAGUCACCCUUCCUCGUUCCCUGGAGCCAUGAAUGUGACUGCCUGGACCUGCAGGGGCUGUUAUCAGCUUGGCUCUCCUCCUUUUGCUAGUUCAGGCAGGCGUCAUGGUUUAUCACACAUGGAUCUGGCUGUUACCCCAUCUUCUGAACCAGUCAGAGAAACAAAAAAUGCGUGGCCUGUGAAGGGAAAAGAUAGGACAUGGCUCUUUUCCCCUCUUUUUGUCCUGACUCUUGGAAGUGGUAAGACUUUGCAGAACUUUAUCAGAAAUCCCCCUUUGCUCAUGUGAUUAUUUUGCAAACUAUCUGGCAUUCCAGGGCCGCUUUCGAAAAUGUACGACUUUACCUGACCUAAUCUACCUCAUGAUACCUGCUCUAGUUCGUAAGUUCUGGCUUCAGGGCAUCUGUCAUUGGCAUAACAGUACACCCUCAAUUCAUAAUGAGUUCUCUUUUGGUCGGCCUGCCUUUCAGAAUUUUGACUGCUUUUCCCCAGGACAUCUACUCCUUAGUGUAGUCCCACCACUGGCAUUCUCGUGGAAGUGAAACAAACCAGAGUUUCGUGGGGCGUUCUCGUGGAAGGGUGAAGCUUGUUUGACAGAGGAGAACGAGGAAGUCAGUGGAGACUUUUGUGCAGAAAUGUUCCCAGGAGCCCCACAGUACUUUCUAGUGCUUUCGAAGUGUUCGAUGCUGUUAUCCUUUCAACCAGAAAAGACUCUUUGGAAUUCUGCUUUUGUUGACGCAGGUAUGAGCUAGGUAUGCCGUUUUCAAGACAGGAAUAGAGGACUGAGAUGAUUGAUGAACAAGGCUAAGAAUGUGAAGGAAGAAGAAGAUAAGCAUUAAGCAGUAUCUCCGCUCUUCAGUAGGGAGGAUUAUCUAGUCCCUGAAAUAACGGAAGUUAGGAGCAGAAGAGGUAAGACCGUUUCCUCUAAGAGACAGCGCAGUUGGUGGCUCAGAGCCGUGCAGUCAGAUAGAGGUCGGACCAUGUACAGUUUUCUUGUAGCACAUUAGAAAAGCAAAAAGACACAGAGGGAAUGGAAUUGAAUGGUGCUGGUUUUCUAGCCCAACAGCAUCCAAAAUAUUGUUCGUCAACACAUCAUCAAUAGAAAAAUUGUUGAGAUUUGCAUUCGUUUUUGUCACCUAACCUUUGAAAUCUGUUAUUGACACUUAGAGCGCACCUCCGCUUGAACUAGCCACAUUUUAGGGGUUUACUAGCCCCAUUUGGCCAAGCCUGCCGUGUUGGACAAGCCAAGUAAGCAACUCAUUGCUGUCUGCUGUUGAUAAUGGGGCCAGGUGGAGGGUGGAUGUUGAAAAUAUUCAGAAUGAGGAAUUCUGGUAAAUGGAAAAUGGGGUAUACAUAAAAUAUGUUUUCUGGGAGUCUCAUACACUCAUUAAAUCCUUAAAAUAUCAGCCCACACAAGUAAGAAGCUUAUUUUCAAAUUCUUAAAGAAUCAGAAAAAUUCUGAGACGAUAGCUCUGUGAGGGGAACACCAGUGUUGGCAUGUUGAUUCUCAUUUCCCUUGUCUCCACACAGGCACACAGAUGGCGGGGUUUUAACGGGUGACACCUGGCUUCUGUCUCACCUUCUUAUAGAGGAAUGCGCGUCCCUUUUUUUUUUUUUUAAAUGAUUUUUAUUUUUUCCAUUAUAGUUGGAUUAUGGUGUUUUUACUUUCUUUUUUUUUUUUUUUUUUUUUGCUUUUUAGGGCCACUCCCAUGGCAUAUGGAGGGUCCCAGGUUGAGGUUGAAUCAGAACUGUAGCUGUAGCUGCCAGCCUACACCAUGGCUCACGGCAACAUCGGAUCCUUAACCCACUAAGCAAGGCCAGCGAUCAAACCUGCAUCCUCAUGGAUGCUAGCCAGAUUCCUUAACCCUUAAGCCACGACAGGAACUCUGGUUUACAGUGUUCUGUCAAUUUCUACUGUACAGCAGGGUGACCCGGUCUCACACACACAUAUAUAUACACAUUCUUUUUCUCACAUCAUCCUCCAUCAUGUUCUAUCGCAAGUGACUAGGUAGAGUUCCCUGUGCUACACAGCAGGAUCUCAUGGCUUAUCCAUGCCGAAUGCAGUAGUUUGCAUCUAUCAACCGCAUAUUCCCAGUCCAUCCCACUCACCCCCCCCUCCGCCUUGGCAACCACAGGUCUGUUCUCCAAGACCGUGUGUUCCUUUUCUGUGGAGGUAGGACCAUUUGAGUUGUAUAUUUGAUUCCAGAUGUAAGUGAUAUCGUAUGGCAUUUGUCUUUCUCUUUCUGACUUACUUUGCUUAGUAUGAGAGUCUUAGUUCCAUCCCUGUUGCUGCAGAUGGCAUGAUUUCAUUCUUUUUCACAGCUGAGUGGUAAUCCAUUGUGUAUAUAUACCACAUCUUUUUUUUUUUUUUUUUGCCUUUUUCUAGGGCCGCAUCUGUGGCAUAUGGAGAUUCCCAGCCUAGGGGGUCUAAUCGGAGCCAUGGCCACUGGCCUACACCAGAGCUGUAGCAACGCGGGAUCCAAGCCGCAUUUGCGACCUACACCAGAGCUCACGGCAAUGCCAGAUCCUUAACCCUCUGAGCAAGGCCAGGGAUGGAACCCGCAACCUCAUGGUUCCCAGGCUAGGGGUUGAAUCGGAGCUGUAGCCACCAGCCUACGCCAGAGCCACAGCAACGCGGGAUCCGAGCCGCAUCUGCAACCUACACCACAGCUCACGGCAACGCCGGAUCCUUAACCCACUGAGCAAGGGCAGGGACCGAACCCGCAACCUCAUGGUUCCUAGUCGGAUUCGUUAACCACUGCGCCACGACGGGAACUCCUUUUUUUCAUUUUCGACUGCCCCGCAGCAUAUGGAGUUCCCAGACCAGGGAUCAGAUCCCAGCUGUAGUUGCAACCUGAGCAGCAAUGCUGGAUCCUUAACCCACUGUGCCGGGCCAGGGAUCAAACCUGUGACCCAGCGAUCCCAAGACACCGCUGAUCCCAUUGUGUCACACUGGGAACUCCGAAAUCUGCGUUUAAUUUAGUUUUACUCUAUUUAAAUGGAAGUAGCCCCGGUAGGACCGUGGUGCACGUCUCAGCUCUCAAGGCAUGGACUCACUCCCUCCUCAUCUGCCAGGAGCUGCAGGAACUCACAACUCGUCCCCUCUGUCUUGUGGUCUUGGAGUGUGGUUGGUUCACCGCGCAUGAUGGGUAUAUCACCAAGUAUUUGCUGGUGGGGACUCUGGCAAGGGCGUCAUAAGGAUCAGAGCAGUUCUUUGCCUUGAAAUCUCUGGGAGCCGUGCUCUUGAGGGCCGAUGGAAGCCGAGCGGGAAAGUGAGUCUUCAGACGAGAAGAGGUGGUUGAGCCACAAGCACGCUUUCCCAGGCCCAGGAGACGCUGGUUUUUAUCAGGCAGAGAGUUGUGUUUAAAAGACAAAAGACUUGGAGUUCCCAUUGUGGCUCAGCAGUAAGGAACCUGACGAGUGUCCAGGAGGAUGUGGGUUCGAUCCCUGACCUCGCUCAGUGGGCUAGGGAUCCGCUGUUGCUGGAGCUGUGGUGGAGGUCACAGACGCGGCUUGGAUCCUGCAUUGAUGUGGCUGUGGUGUAGGCCGGCAGCUCCAGCUCUGAUCCGCCCCUCACCUGGGAACUCCCACAUGCCGCAGGUAUGGCCCUAAAACAAAACACAAGACCCCAAAGACUUCUUAUUAACAGUUGUGCUGAAAUGGGGAGGUGAGCUGGCCUCUCUGUAUGGUAUCACUCCGGUGUUCUCUAAAGUGGCUUCCUCAUGCUCGUUGUGUCCCUGUCGCCACCCAGCAGGUGCAUGACCUGUAUUUUCUCCCAAGGCAGUGGCUCUGGGAAGAGGGCCGGCAGGUCACCUUGGAGGAGGCUCUGGAUCCCGGGUGGGCCGGUGGUUCCCUGUUCCUCUUUCCCUUGUGUCUCCCCCGAUUGAGACGCCCUCUGUGCCCCCCUGGGCUCAACUGUUUGGUGAGAAUGCACGGUACCCCCUCACACCUUUAGGGGCCAUGGUCCAUGUGGUCACAGCCUGCACUCUUGUCCCAGCCCCGCUGACCUGUGCGGUCAUCAGGAAAGUUGUCUCCACAACCCUGGCCUUCCAUGGUGGCCCGUGGGACAUUUACGUGAGGAGCCAGGAGCCUGGGGGACCAGGUAUCGCCGUGACCAUAACGCCUGUGUGUCCUGAAGGCCCAAACCUUUGGGCAGGAAGGUGGGCCUGGGACACAGAGGGCUGCCUGGUGGCUGGCUCUUACAGGAAGCCAGGUGGGUCUGCGAGGUGGGCGCACCUGUCCAACUCAAACCACACGCCCUGGCCUCUCCGAGUGGCGCUGGUGGUGCCGGUCUCAUGAGAAAGCACCCAUUUAUCAGAGCAGAUACAGGUGUCUACACUGUGACCACUCUUGACGGGAAACCUGCUGUUGCCAACAGCGAGGCUUAUUUGUCAGUGUGGCUCAACAUUCCCCGCAGUUGUAUUUCUCCCCACCCCACAGACGCAAUGCUCAUAGCUGCCUAAAAGCUGUUAAAUCCUGGAGUUCCCAGUGUGGCUCAGCGGGUUAAGAACCCAACACCAGUGUCCAUGAGGAUGCGGGUUCAAUCCCUGGCUUCGUUCAGUGGGUUAAGGAUUUGGUGUUGCCACAAGCUGCAGUGCAGGCUGCAGAUGUGGAUUGGAUCCUGCAUUGUUGUAGCUGUGUCGUAGGCUGGCAGCUGCAGCUCUAAUUCGACUCCUGACCUGGGAGCUUCCAUAUUGCCGUCGGUGCGGCCCUAAAA